rnacentral:rRNA from 1 species
UGGGGAAUAUUGGACAAUGGGGGGAACCCUGAUCCAGCCAUGCCGCGUGCGUGAAGAAGGCCUUAUGGUUGUAAAGCACUUUAAGCGAGGAGGAGGGUACUGGUAUUAAUACUACCAGCUACUGGACGUUACUCGCAGAAUAAGCACCGGCUAACUCUGUGCCAGCAGCCGCGGUAAUACAGAGGGUGCGAGCGUUAAUCGGAUUUACUGGGCGUAAAGCGUGCGUAGGCGACUAAUUGAGUCGGAUGUGAAAUCCCCGAGCUUAACUUGGGAAUUGCAUUCGAUACUGGUUAGCUAGAGUGUGGGAGAGGAUGGUAGAAUUCCAGGUGUAGCGGUGAAAUGCGUAGAGAUCUGGAGGAAUACCGAUGGCGAAGGCAGCCAUCUGGCCUAACACUGACGCUGAGGUACGAAAGCAUGGGGAGCAAACAGG